CCUACGGGUGGCAGCAGUGAGGAAUAUUGGACAAUGGACGAGAGUCUGAACCAGCCAAGUAGCGUGAAGGAUGACGGCCCUAUGGGUUGUAAACUUCUUUUAUAGGGGAAUAAAAUAGGGUAUGCAUACCCUCUUGUAUGUACCAUAUGUAUAAGGAUCGGCUAACUCCGUGCCAGCAGCCGCGAUAAUACGGAGGGUCCGAGCGUUAUCCGGAAUUAUUGGGUUUAAAGGGGGCGUAGGUGGGUUGUUAAGUCAGUUGUGAAAGUUUGCGGCUCAACCGUAAAAUUGCAUUUGAAACUGGCAGUCUAGAGUACAGUAGAGGUGGGCGGAAUUCGUUGUGUAGCGGUGAAAUGCUUAGAUAUCACGAAGAACUCCGAUUGCGAAGGCAGCUCACUGGACUGCAACUGACACUGAUGCUCGAAAGUGUGGGUAUCAAACAGGAUUAGAUACCCCGGUAGUC
rnacentral:rRNA from 1 species